UCAGGCGUGUUCCAAUUGGCGGUUCGAUGCUGGUAUCCCAAUUCCAUCGGCCUCUUUUCAACCCAUUUCAUUCCAUUCCGUUAAAAAGAUUUUUUUUGACGGCGAGCAGGCCUGCCAGGCCAUCUCCGAUCGCGGCCUCAACAGCAGCAGCGCCCGCGAUGUCGUCUUCUACUUUUCCGGGAGAAAAGCCAAGGGCGAAGAAGGUGAUGCAUGAAAUGGAGAUGUUCGGAGACAUUAGAAUCGACAAUUACUACUGGCUUCGCGACGAUUCUCGUUCCGAUCCCCAAGUCCUCUCUUAUCUCCGCGAAGAGAAUGCUUACACUGACUCUGUCAUGUCCGGGACGAAACACUUAGAAGAUCAAAUCUAUGCUGAAAUAAGAGGAAGAAUCAAGGAGGAUGACAUUUCUGCACCAAUUCGCAGAGGACCUUUCUAUUACUACAAAAGCACCUUGGAGGGGAAGGAAUAUGCUCAGCACUGUCGGCGCCCUGUCCUUAACCAUGAGGAUCCACCUUCUGUUUAUGAUGUCAUGCCAACUGGCCCAGUUGGUUCACCUGAGCAUGUUAUACUGGAUGAGAAUGUGCAGGCUCAAGGCCACACGUAUUAUAGUAUUGGAGCUUUCAAGGUUAGUCCAAAUAAUAAAUUAGUAGCAUAUGCAGAAGACACUAAAGGAAAUGAGAUUUACACUGUUUAUGUCAUGGAUGUUGAAAGUGGAACACAUGUGGAGAAGCCUUUAGUUGGUGUAACAUCAAAUCUUGAAUGGGCUGGUGAUGAAGCUUUAUUUUAUGUCACAAUGGAUGCGACUCUUCGGCCAGAUAAGGUGUGGUUACAUAAAUUGGGGGAAGAGCAAUCAUGUGAUUUGUGUCUCUAUCAUGAAAAAGAUGACAUGUUCUCUGUUGAUGUUGUGGCUUCUGAAAGCAAGCAAUAUUUGUUUGUUGCAUCAGAAAGUAAAACUACAAGGUUUGUCUUCUAUUUUGACAUUUCAAAGCCUGGAAAUCAGCUUGUACCUUUGACGCCUCGCCUUGAUGGUAUUGACACAUCAGUCAGCCAUCGUGGUACUCAUUUUUUUAUCACAAGGAGAAGUGAUGAGUUUUUUAACUCAGAAUUAGUAGCCUGUCCAGUGGACAAUGUAUCUGCAACCACAGUUCUUUUGCCUCACCGGGAAAGUGUAAAGAUUGAGGACGUACGACUAUUCUCUGAUCAUCUUGUUGUAUUUGAGCGUGAAAAUGGUCUUCAUAAAAUAUCUAUAUAUGGCCUUCCCCCUGUUGGAGAACCACUUGGUAGGUUACAAGGCAAACGGAAUGUUGACUUUAUCGAUCCUGUAUAUUCAGUGGGACAAUCAGAAUCCCAAUUUUCUUCCAUCAUUUUACGUUUUUCAUAUAGUUCAUUGAGGACACCCCACUCAAUUUAUGAUUAUGACAUGAACACUGGGAUUUCUGUACUGAAGAAAAUUGAGACGGUGUUGGGAGAUUUUGAAGCCUCAAAUUUUACAACCAAAAGGCUAUGGGCUACUGCUCCAGAUGGCACUCAUAUUCCUAUAUCAAUUGUUUAUCGAAAAGAUCUUGCAAAACUUGAUGGCUCUGAUCCAUUCCUACUUUAUGGAUAUGGUUCAUAUGAGUAUUGUGCAAACCCCAGUUUCCGGGCAUCACAUCUCUCUUUGUUGGACCGUGGUUUUAUUUUUGGCAUUGCUCAUAUUCGUGGAGGUGGUGAAAUGGGGAGGCAGUGGUAUGAAAAUGGGAAAUUGUUAAAGAAGAAAAACACUUUCACGGAUUUUAUUGCCUGCGCUGAAUAUCUUAUGGAAAAUAAGUACUGUACAAAAGAAAAGUUGUGUAUUGAUGGUAGAAGUGCUGGAGGAUUGCUUAUUGGUGCUGUUCUUAACAUGCGGCCUGAUUUGUUCAAGGCUGCUGUUGCUGGAGUACCCUUCGUGGAUGUUUUGACUACAAUGCUUGAUCCAACCAUUCCUCUUACCACGUCAGAGUGGGAGGAAUGGGGAGAUCCUCGUAAGGAAGAGUUCUACUUCUACAUGAAGUCAUAUUCCCCUGUUGAUAAUAUUGCUGCACAGAAUUAUCCAUCCAUUAUUGUGACAGCUGGUUUACAUGAUCCUCGUGUAAUGUAUUCAGAACCUGCCAAGUUUGUUGCAAAAUUGAGAGACAUGAAAACUGACAAUAAUAUGCUGUUGUUCAAAUGUGAAUUUGGUGCCGGUCACUUUGCAAAGUCAGGGAGGUCGUGACAACAUCUACCAAUUCAAGGAGGGUUAACAUAAAGUAUAAAAGGUGUCCCUAGUGCAAAAGGCUCCCUGCUUUGUGUUUGAGAAGCUCCAAGAAGAUGCUUUCAUUUUUGCUUUCUUAUUGAAGGCUUUAAACAUGGUUCCUCCUCCCCUCAGCUUAGCGAAGAACUAACUGAUUUCAUUGGUAAAUGCCGCGUAGACAUCAUAUUCUCAGUGUAU